CCUCUGCGGCACCGAAGGAAGCGCUUUGCUGCUGUACACUGGGCCUAUACUGCUGAUAGCUGUGCUCGCCGUACCUUACCUUCUCCUUUCUGGAGGAGACGACGACGACGUUGUCGCUGAAAAGAAGAAGAGUCCCCGCCUCCGUCUAGGGACAUUCCCGGUGUUGGUGGACGGCGUGUUUGGGGG